rnacentral:lncRNA from 1 species
UUAGAGGUCUUUUCAGGUUAUAACUUGGCUUAUGUUUAAGUAUGAUACUUUUAGGAAAGUAGGUUUAAACCUUUGGAGUUAGGUGUCUAGUUCUCCUUCUAUUCUCAUACCCUUUUGUUCCUUCUUUUCAAUACUAGAGAUUCAGUCGUUCUUUUUUGUUCUUUCUCUUUUUUUUUUUGAAGAAGUGACCUUUACCACUUCUUAUUUUCUCAAUAUUUUU